AGCAACGCACAAACGUCUUCUGUG
rnacentral:miRNA from 1 species